rnacentral:rRNA from 1 species
CCUACGGGUGGCAGCAGUGGGGAAUAUUGGACAAUGGGGGGAACCCUGAUCCAGCGACGCCGCGUGAGUGAAGAAGGAUUUCGGUAUGUCAAGCUCUAUCAGCAGGGAAGAAAAUGACGGUACCUGACUAAGAAGCCCCGGCUAACUAAGUGCCAGCAGCCGCGGGCAUACGUAGGGGGGAAGCGGUAUCCGGAUUUACUGGGUGUAAAGGGAGGGUGGACGGUGCAGCAAGGCUGAUGGGAAAGUUCGGGGGCCAAACCCGGGACUGCAUUGGAAACUGUUGAACUGGAGUAAAGGAGAGGUAAGCGGAAUUCCUAGUGUAGCGGUGAAAUGCGUAGAUAUUAGGAGGAACACCAGUGGCGAAGGCGGCUUACUGGACUGUAACUGACGUUGAGGCUCGAAAGCGUGGGGAGCAAACAGGAUUAGAUACCCUUGUAGUC